rnacentral:lncRNA from 1 species
UUUGGAGUUUCUAAUUGCCUAAUGCUGAUGUUUUUCUUCUCUGACUUUGCCCAUGCCUUCCUCCUGAGUGUUCUACAACAUUCAGCUCCCAUUUGGUGAUGGAACACUGCUGAAUGUGCUCACCUCCAAGGAUGGGGGGGUCAGACCGCACCCGGUUGAUGAUUGGCAGCCUUGGUCACAUGGUAACUUGGUGGUUGUGGUUAAGCGUUCCGUCUCUACUAUGGCCCAGAAGCAGGCCAAGAGCUGUUCCUCAAAAGGAGUCGAGUUAUUCACAAAGGAUGGCAGGGUGCUGCUCCCAGGUCCCAGCGGCUUGUGCUGCAGUUCACCUGGAGGAGUUUAUUGAAGCCUCCACAUGGGAUUCCUGUCUGCAGCUGACUCUUCAAAACACCAUUGAAUCUGCUGGAUACAUGAUCCAAGUGGUGGAGCUGCUUGUGCGGUGGGCUGGACCUGCUGCAGAGCCUUCUUUGACUCUGGUCUCACUCAAAGCCAGCAUCUUUUUGAGUCACUUGGUACACAGGCCAGAAUAACGCCCUCAAAUGAGGAAGAUGUUGCCUCCAAAAUCCAAAGACCUCACUAGGGACUGUCUCUUUUUUGUUGUAGCAGAUGCAACAACUUAGACUUCGCCUUGGAAGGGAAACCUCCACGUCCCCUAUUCCGCUGGGACCCUAGAAAUCUCACUGAGAUAGAAGGCCCUGAAGCUGUGUUGUCUCUAUAUCCCAUUGUCUUACAUGCAAAUAUCUUAAAAGAUAAGUUUGGAUGAGUUGUGCCACCUUGUUCCCUGGAAUCAAUCAUCACAAUGUCACCGGUGUAAUGGACCAGGGUCAUAUCUGGUAGGGAACAAUGAUGGAGAGCUCUGUGAACUGAAUUAUAGCAUAUGGCUGGAGAGUUGCUAUACCCCUAUGGCAGGACAGUGAAGGUGCACUGUUGGCUUUACCAGCUGAAAGUCAACUGGUUCCAGUGGUCUUUAUGGACAGAUGUAGAGAAAUAAGUUUUUUGCCAGAUCAAUAGUGCAAACAGGUACUCGGGGAUGUGUUAAUUUGCUCAAGCAAUGAAACUACAUCUGGCACAACAGCUGCAUUUGGAAUCCCCACCCGAUGAAUCUUACAAUAAUUCACCGCUAUUCUCCAAAGUCCAUCUGUCUUCUGCACGGGCCAAGUAAGCACCUUACAUGGGAAUGGGUGGGAAUUGCCAUCCUUACAUCUUCCAGGUCCUUGAUGGUGACACCAAUUUCUGCAGUUCCUCCAAGAAUUUGCUAUUUCUUUUGUUUUUACUCUUUUCCCAGGUAGAAGCUGUUCUAGUGACUUCCACCUGGUCUUUCCCAUCAUAAUAGCCCUCUGUCCACAGUUUAGGGAAACAAUGUGGGAAUCUGGCCAGUAGCUGAGUAAGUCUAUUCCAAUUAUGCAUUCCAGAUCUGAGGAAAUAACCAGAGUAUGGGUCCGGGGACCCCUGGCUCCACUAUGAGAUAGACCUGAGCUAAAAUUUCAUGGACCACGUGACCUCCAUAAGACCCUCUUCUAACUCCUCUAACUCGUGGACCCCAGUGAUGUUUUGGGUUCCUUGAAAUCAGUGUCAGUUCACCAGUCCCUGAAAGUUCUGCUUAUUUUCUUUUCCCUAAUGCACGGUCCCCAUGAUAAGGAGUCAUAGAUCCCUUUGGUGGAAGCUGGGAGAAAAAUUAACCAUGUAAAUUUUGGCAGUGUACUGGGAUCCUUCUUCAAAGGGACCCAGCCACCCCUUCAAUCAAGGUGUUCUGUGUCUGGGAAUUGAUAAAAGGGCCGUGACUCUAUUUUUAAGAUUCAAAUAAUCCUUUUCUGUGUGUGUGCAUGUGGCACCUUGGCCUGUAGAAGUUCCUAGGCCAGGGAUUGAACCAACACCCCAGCAGUGACCCAAGCCACAGCAAUGACAGCCCUGGAUACUUAACCAAUUAGGCCACCAGGGAACUCCUCAAGUAAUACUUUUGUGCACUUAAACUUGAACUUUUCUAUUUAUUCAGGUCAAGAAUAAUUUAGUAGUUUUCCUAUCUAUUUCACUUCUAGGAAUUCCAUGACCAACUAGCCAAUGCCACCAGUCCGUGUGAGUUAGACUAUUCUGAUGGCUGCUUUGACUCCUCUGCCCACUAUGGUAACUAGACCCACCUUGCCCUUGGCAUCUUUGUGUUUCCAUUUGGCCCCUACCAUCCUGGAGUCCAGGUACUCCCAUUGUGUUUAGACUUCCCAAUUCAGUGACUGGUCUGCAUAGAAGAGGGAUCGCAGAGCUCUACAAGAAUGCUAGGACCCUCCCUCAUAUAUUUAUUUCUCACACUUAUUGCAAUAAGCAUAUCUUCGGGACCCUUCCAGGGUGGGUGGGUAGGUCUUAAAUGACAAAUCCACACUGACAUGCCAUCUCUCUAAGCCACGGAAUCUCUCCAUACACAUUAAACCAAACUGCACUUCUAAUUUGUCCACCACAGGCCACUGUUUUCAUGUCCAUGUUUCAGCCAAUCAACCAAACAGAUUCUCAGAGCCUUUUCUAACUCCCUGAGCUGCAACAUUAAGAUCUCUGCUUAGUGACGCUCAUAUCAAUAAAUUCGGCUCAGUCUAACUUUAUGGUCCUCCCACCUUUACCCCACACCCUGAACAUCCAUGCCUACUUAUAGCCCUCAGAUUUGUGUCUUCUAGGUUAGAAAACUCUAGUAGUUGUUUUGUAGUUUAGUGCACCUCUUCCUGGGUCAUACUUUGUGUAUCACCUUUAGGCACAGGCUGGGCUUGAGUCUGGUUAUAGGUCUAGAAACAAAGAGUGGUGGUGGUUUUGGAGGUGGUGAUGUUAACAGGGGUGUCCUGAAGAGAAGCAGCUUCAUCCUGCAUAGUAAUUGCUCCAGGGAAGAUGUUACUCUUUCCUCAGACAAGGCCAGGUUAAUCCCCUUAGCCAGGAGUGGACAGACAGCUCUCACUGAGUUGGGGGAAGAAAUCUCUUUCAUUGUUAAAGAAGAUUCAUCAGAAUUUAAUGGCUCAAUGUCCCCAGUUUCAUCGGUGUCUUCCUAUAUGACCCCUCCCAACUUUCAGGAUUCCAUUUCUGACUCACACUCCUGGAAGAUGUGUGGUCUUGUUGUAGGUCUCUGAGGUCCCAGUGCCAGGAACCUGAUGGAGUGUGAAGCAGCCUGGCACGGCCCCACAAGGUGGUGCUGCCCCUCCAUUCAGUUGCACGAUGUUCUUGAAUUAGAAGAAUCAAUACUGUUAAAAUGUCCAUACUACCCAAGGCAAUCUACAGAGUCAAUGUUACUAAAUUACCAGUGGCCUUUUUCACAAAAACAGUAAAUGUUAUCCCUAUCAAAUUACCAGUGGCCUUUUUCAAAAAAUAGGAAAAAAAAAAAAAAAAACUUGUGUGGAAACACAAAGGAUCCCAAAUAGCGAAAACAGUCUUGAGAAAGAAGGGAGCUGGAGGAAUCAUAGUCCCUGACUUUAGACUACACCACAAACCUGCAGUCAUCAAAACAGUAUGGCACUGGAAACUAAACAGAUACAUAGAUCAAUGGAACACAUAGAAAGCCCAGAAAUAAACUCAUGUACUCAUGUCAACUUAUCUACAACAAAGGAGGCAAGAAUAUACAAAGAAGAAAAGACAGACUCUUCAAUAAAUAGUGGUGGGAAAACUGGACAGUGACAUGUCAAAGAAUGAAAUUAGAACAUUCUCUACCACCAAGCACAAAAAAUAAACUCAAAAUGGGUUGAAGACCUAAAUGUAAAACCAGAUACUAUAAAAUUCCUAGAAUAAAACAUAGGCAAGAUAUUCUUCUAUAGAAAUGGCUGUAAUAAUUUCUUGGGUUUGUCUCCUAGAGUAAUGGAAAUAAAACUGAAAAUAAACCAAUCAGAACUAAUUUAACUUAAAAGCUUUUGCACAGCAAAGAAAACCUAAACAAAAUGAAAAGAGAACAUACAGAAUGGGAGAAAAUAUUUGUAAACCAUAAGACCAACAAAGGAUUAAUUUCCAAAAUAUAAAAAGAGCUCAUGGAGUUCCCAUCAUAGCUCAGUGGAAAUGAUUUCAACUAGGAACCAUGAAGUUGUGGGUUCAAACCCUGGCCUUGCUCAGUGGGUUAAGGAUCUGGCAUUGCCGUGAGCUGUGGUGUAUGUUGCAGAUGUGGCUCAGAUGUGCCAUUGCUGUGGCUCUGGUAUUCACUGGCAGCUGUAGCUGUGAUUAGAUCCCUAGCCUGGGAACCUCCAUAUGCCAUGGAUG